GCGGAGGGAUCAUUACCGAGUUUACAACUCCCAAACCCCUGUGAACAUACCAAUUGUUGCCUCGGCGGAUCAGCCCGCUCCCGGUAAAACGGGACGGCCCGCCAGAGGACUCCUAAACUCUGUUUCUAUAUGUAACUUCUGAGUAAAACCAUAAAUAAAUCAAAACUUUCAACAACGGAUCUCUUGGUUCUGGCAUCGAUGAAGAACGCAGCAAAAUGCGAUAAGUAAUGUGAAUUGCAGAAUUCAGUGAAUCAUCGAAUCUUUGAACGCACAUUGCGCCCGCCAGUAUUCUGGCGGGCAUGCCUGUUCGAGCGUCAUUUCAACCCUCAAGCCCUCGGGUUUGGUGUUGGGGAUCGGCGAGCCUCACGGCAAGCCGGCCCCGAAAUAUAGUGGCGGUCUCGCUGCAGCUUCCAUUGCGUAGUAGUAAAACCCUCGCAACUGGUACGCGGCGCGGCCAAGCCGUUAAACCCCCAACUUCUGAAUGUUGACCUCGGAUCAGGUAGGAAUACCCGCUGAACUUAAGCAUAU
rnacentral:rRNA from 1 species